GGGAUUCAAACCCUCUGGCAAGGCAAAAGAAGGGCGGAAUGGCGUUGGUGAGGUUAGCAACCGCGAGAACCCACUAUGGCUCGUCGUUUCUUUGUCUUAGGUCAGCAUCUCUGCCCCGGUGUUGGAGCCAAAUUCGAGCCUUCUCGGCCGCUAUGUCGCCGCCGUCAUCGGCGGUGGUGUAUGAGCACCAUGGACCACCGGAGAGUGUGACCAGAGUGGUUGAGCUACCUCCAGUUGAGGUUAAAGAGAACGAUUUCUGCGUUAAAAUGCUCGCUGCUCCCAUCAAUCCUUCCGAUAUUAAUAGGAUCGAAGGUGUUUACCCUGUGAGACCACAAGUUCCAGCAGUAGGAGGAUAUGAGGGAGUUGGAGAAGUACACUCUUUGGGCUCUGCAGUUAAGGGACUUUCUCCUGGUGAUUGGGUGAUCCCAUCUCCUCCCUCUUCUGGAACAUGGCAGACAUAUGUUGUGAAAGAGCAGAGUGUCUGGCACAAAAUUAAUAAAGAUGUGCCUAUGGAAUAUGCGGCCACUGUUACUAUUAAUCCUUUGACCGCACUAAGAAUGCUUGAAGACUUUGGCAAUCUAAAUCCAGGUGAUGCUAUUGUGCAAAAUGGGGCUACAAGCAUUGUGGGCCAGUGCAUCAUUCAGCUUGCACAAAUUCGUGGCAUCCACAGCAUUAAUAUAAUAAGAGACAGGGUUGGAUCAGAUGAAGUAAAAGAAAAACUUAAGGGGCUUGGUGCUGAUGAAGUGUUCACUGAGAGUCAAUUGGAAGUUAAGAAUGUCAAAGGCCUCCUGGCUAAUUUACCGGAACCUGCUUUGGGAUUCAACUGUGUUGGUGGCAAUCCUGCCACUUUGGUUCUCAAAUUCUUGAGGCAGGGGGGAACUAUGGUAACAUAUGGUGGAAUGUCUAAGAAACCUAUCACUGUUUCAACUUCAUCUUUCAUUUUUAAGGAUCUUUCCUUGAGGGGAUUCUGGCUGCAGAAAUGGAUGAGUUCAGAUAAAGCAAAGGAGUCCAGAAAGAUGAUAGAUUACCUUUUGGGGCUCACACAAGAGGGAAAGAUAAAAUACGAGAUGGAGCUGGUUCCUUUCAGCAAUUUUCAUGCUGCUUUGGAUAAGGCCCUUGGAAAAUUUGGAAGCCAACCCAAACAAGUCAUAAAAUUCUAAUCCCAAAGUGGGAACUGAGGUAGGUGUUUCUGAAGUUUUAGAGGGAAUUGGGGUGCAAGACUACAGGAAUUGGCAGACAGCACUUCAAACUCCCUUUUUUUUUUUAACAAAUGGGAUUUUGUGGAUCUUCCGAGGGUGCAACUUUUGAAGCAAUAUGUAGUCAAGUAAUAAUGCAAAGGGUUAUUUGCAAAUGGAUGGAUGUCUGGCAUAUAUCUAGCGUUAGAGACGUGAGAGAUACAAGUGCUGAAUAAUGAAGAUUUCAUCCACCCAUGACGAAGCUUGUUUUGAAUCAAAACUGGAUCCUGCCAGUUUCACCUCUCAAAAAAGGUGAAUUACAUUCUCAGUUGAAUGACCCCAGUCCAGUUCUCCAUAUAGGCCAUAUAGUUUUCCAAGAAAUCCUCUCCAGCCCACAUCCCUAUAGGGCCAAGGAACUGGAACGUUAUUUCUAAAUAAACAUUUCCCUAUUACUUUUCCUUUUA